rnacentral:rRNA from 1 species
GCAGUAACGAACGUGUAGUAGUGAAAUACGUUGAUAUCGAACGCAACACCAUAGCGUAGACUGACUUCUGGGCACGACUUGACACUGAUAGACGAGAGCGUAGUAGCUGAAAGUGAUUAGAUACCCCAGUAGUCCACGCUGUAAGCGAUGAUGAUUAGGUGCUAGGGAGUAUCGACCCUCAUUAGUACCAUAGGUAACGUGUUAACUCAUCCGCAUGGGGAGUACGACCGCAUGGCUACCACUCAAAGGAAUUGACGAUGACGUGCACUAGCGGUGGAGCAUAUGGUCUAAUUCGACGGUAAGCGAGUAACGAUACCAAGUCUUGACAUAUACUUGCAUCGCCCAGAAAUUGGCGCGCCUUCGAGGGUGGUAUACAGAUGUUGCACGGUUGUAGUCAGCUCGUGCCGUGAGGUGUUCACUUAAGUGUGAAAACGAGCGCAACCCAUGCGGUGAGUUACAAGUGUCUCACAGAACUGCCCGCGUUUAAGCGGGAUGAAGGUGGGGACUAAGUCACAUCAGGGGGGGUCCUUCACACUGGGCGCCACACGUGGUACAAUGGGGAGAACAAAGGGACGCCAAGGACCAAUCCGGAGCAAAUCCUAUCAAUACUCCCCCCAUUUCGAAUUGAGGGCUGCAACUUGCCCUCGUGAAGCCGGAAUCGCUAGUCACGGUAGAUCAGCCUCGUUACGGUGAAUACGUUAUCAGGUUUUGUACACACCGCCAGUCAAGCCAUGGAAGUGGGAAGCGGAUGAAGCCCACUUUACUGUGCUCUAGUCCGAAGCUCAUAACUGGGGCUAAGUCGUAACAAGGUAACCA